GACGAACGCUGGCGGCGUGCCUAAUACAUGCAAGUAGAACGCUGAAGAGAGGAGCUUGCUCUUCUUGGAUGAGUUGCGAACGGGUGAGUAACGCGUAGGUAACCUGCCUGGUAGCGGGGGAUAACUAUUGGAAACGAUAGCUAAUACCGCAUAAAAUGGAUUAUCGCAUGAUAAUCCAUUGAAAGGUGCAAAUGCAUCACUACCAGAUGGACCUGCGUUGUAUUAGCUAGUUGGUGGGGUAACGGCUCACCAAGGCGACGAUACAUAGCCGACCUGAGAGGGUGAUCGGCCACACUGGGACUGAGACACGGCCCAGACUCCUACGGGAGGCAGCAGUAGGGAAUCUUCGGCAAUGGACGGAAGUCUGACCGAGCAACGCCGCGUGAGUGAAGAAGGUUUUCGGAUCGUAAAGCUCUGUUGUAAGAGAAGAACGAGUGUGAGAGUGGAAAGUUCACACUGUGACGGUAGCUCACCAGAAAGGGACGGCUAACUACGUG
rnacentral:rRNA from 1 species